CGGGCUUUGCUUGGUGGUGAGAGUGGCGAACGGGUGAGUAAUGCGUGACCGACCUGCCCCAUACACCGGAAUAGCUCCUGGAAACGGGUGGUAAUGCCGGAUGCUCCAGUUGAUCGCAUGGUCUUCUGGGAAAGCUUUCGCGGUAUGGGAUGGGGUCGCGUCCUAUCAGCUUGACGGCGGGGUAACGGCCCACCGUGGCUUCGACGGGUAGCCGGCCUGAGAGGGCGACCGGCCACAUUGGGACUGAGAUACGGCCCAGACUCCUACGGGAGGCAGCAGUGGGGAAUAUUGCACAAUGGGCGCAAGCCUGAUGCAGCGACGCCGCGUGAGGGAUGGAGGCCUUCGGGUUGUAAACCUCUUUUAUCGGGGAGCAAGCGAGAGUGAGUUUACCCGUUGAAUAAGCACCGGCUAACUACGUGCCAGCAGCCGCGGUAAUACGUAGGGUGCAAGCGUUAUCCGGAAUUAUUGGGCGUAAAGGGCUCGUAGGCGGUUCGUCGCGUCCGGUGUGAAAGUCCAUCGCUUAACGGUGGAUCCGCGCCGGGUACGGGCGGGCUUGAGUGCGGUAGGGGAGACUGGAAUUCCCGGUGUAACGGUGGAAUGUGUAGAUAUCGGGAAGAACACCAAUGGCGAAGGCAGGUCUCUGGGCCGUUACUGACGCUGAGGAGCGAAAGCGUGGGGAGCGAACAGGAUUAGAUACCCUGGUAGUCCACGCCGUAAACGGUGGAUGCUGGAUGUGGGGCCCGUUCCACGGGUUCCGUGUCGGAGCUAACGCGUUAAGCAUCCCGCCUGGGGAGUACGGCCGCAAGGCUAAAACUCAAAGAAAUUGACGGGGGCCCGCACAAGCGGCGGAGCAUGCGGAUUAAUUCGAUGCAACGCGAAGAACCUUACCUGGGCUUGACAUGUUCCCGACGGUCGUAGAGAUACGGCUUCCCUUCGGGGCGGG
rnacentral:rRNA from 1 species